GAUGUGAUGCCAAGUAGGGUGGGGUGGUCACCCCCACCAUGAUCACCCUGUAUCCUGUCAAGCAGGCUAACACCUU